GAUGAACGCUAGCGACAGGCUUAACACAUGCAAGUCGAGGGGCAUCAUGAGGUAGCAAUACCUUGAUGGCGACCGGCGCACGGGUGAGUAACGCGUAUGCAACCUGCCCGAUACCGGGGUAUAGCCCAUGGAAACGUGGAUUAACACCCCAUAGUACUUUUAUCCUGCCUGGGAUGUGAGUUAAAUGUUCAAGGUAUCGGAUGGGCAUGCGUCCUAUUAGUUAGUUGGCGGGGUAACAGCCCACCAAGACGAUGAUAGGUAGGGGUUCUGAGAGGAAGGUCCCCCACAUUGGAACUGAAACACGGUCCAAACUCCUACGGGAGGCAGCAGUGAGGAAUAUUGGUCAAUGGACGAGAGUCUGAACCAGCCAAGUCGCGUGAGGGAAGACUGCCCUAUGGGUUGUAAACCUCUUUUAUAAGGGAAGAAUAAGUUCUACGUGUAGAAUGAUGCCUGUACCUUAUGAAUAAGCAUCGGCUAACUCCGUGCCAGCAGCCGCGGUAAUACGGAGGAUGCGAGCGUUAUCCGGAUUUAUUGGGUUUAAAGGGUGCGUAAGCGGUUUAUUAAGUUAGUGGUUAAAUAUUUGAGCUAAACUCAAUUGUGCCAUUAAUACUGGUAAACUGGAGUACAGACGAGGUAGGCGGAAUAAGUUAAGUAGCGGUGAAAUGCAUAGGAUAUAACUUUGAACUCCGAUAGCGAAGGCAGCUUACCAGACUGUAACUGACGCUGAUGCACGAGAGCGUGGGUAGCGAACAGGAUUAGAUACCCUGGUAGUUCACGCCGUAAACGAUGCUCACUGGUUCUGUGCGAUAUAUUGUACGGGAUUAAGCGAAAGUAUUAAGUGAGCCACCUGGGGAGUACGUCGGCAACGAUGAAACUCAAAGGAAUUGACGGGGGCCCGCACAAGCGGAGGAACAUGUGGUUUAAUUCGAUGAUACGCGAGGAACCUUACCUGGGUUUAAAUGGGAAAUGUCGUAUUUGGAAACAGAUAUUCUCUUCGGAGCGUUUUUCAAGGUGCUGCAUGGUUGUCGUCAGCUCGUGCCGUGAGGUGUCGGGUUAAGUCCCAUAACGAGCGCAACCCUUACCGUUAGUUGCUAGCAUGUAAUGAUGAGCACUCUAACGGGACUGCCACCGUAAGGUGAGAGGAAGGCGGGGAUGACGUCAAAUCAGCACGGCCCUUACACCCAGGGCUACACACGUGUUACAAUGGCCGGUACAGAGGGCCGCUACCAGGUGACUGGAUGCCAAUCUCAAAAGCCGGUCGUAGUUCGGAUUGGAGUCUGUAACCCGACUCCAUGAAGUUGGAUUCGCUAGUAAUCGCGCAUCAGCCAUGGCGCGGUGAAUACGUUCCCGGGCCUUGUACACACCGCCCGUCAAGCCAUGGAAGCCGGGGGUGCCUGAAGUCCGUAACCGCGAGGAUCGGCCUAGGG
rnacentral:rRNA from 1 species